CUCUCUCCACUCCCCAUUCUCAAAUCUGAAGAACUCCGCACGGGGAGAAGAGACGCUGAGCUCCAAGGCUUUUUCAACAAACAGAUCGGCGUGUUACUGCACGUCCAACGAGAAAGGAUUGCCGACGCUGCUUGUGGAGAGAUGGUUUGCAUAACUUGUCUGAGCCCUUGCAACCGCGAGAGCAAGGGAAGCAUCAUCAGCAUGUAUCUCUGGAAGGAGUUCAAAAAUGCAUGGAACAGGUUGUGCCAUGCAGCGAAAAGGUUUGUUUCAACAACCUGACAGGUGAUGGGUUGAAGUUUUAGGCAAACAAACGGACGUACUAUAAAGUGUCACAAGGGACGCAGAUAGAGUGCAAUGCAUGGGAGUGGUUGAAGGAAGUCUGUUGCACACAAGAAGUUGGGAAAUGGUUAGCUGGUUUUCUUCUACUUGGACCAGACUUCCCCAAGGGAAGUUGUUUGCAUGAUGGAUUCACAUGUUCGCCAUUUGUGCACCACCUCACAAG